rnacentral:rRNA from 1 species
GGGUUGUGAGGUUAAGCGACUAAGCGUACACGGUGGAUGCCCUGGCAGUCAGAGGCGAUGAAGGACGUGCUAAUCUGCGAAAAGCGUCGGUAAGGUGAUAUGAACCGUUAUAGCCGGCGAUGUCCGAAUGGGGAAACCCAGUGCAAUUCGUUGCACUAUCGUUUGAUGAAUACAUAGUCAAACGAGGCGAACCGGGGGAACUGAAACAUCUAAGUACCCCGAGGAAAAGAAAUCAACCGAGAUUCCCCCAGUAGCGGCGAGCGAACGGGGAGCAGCCCGGAGUCUGAAUCAGCUUGUGUGUUAGUGGAAGCGUCUGGAAAGUCGCAGGGUACAGGGUGAUACUCCCGUACACUAAAACACACAGGCUGUGAACUCGAAGAGUAGGGCGGGACACGUGGUAUCCUGUCUGAAUAUGGGGGGACCAUCCUCCAAGGCUAAAUACUCCUGACUGACCGAUAGUGAACCAGUACCGUGAGGGAAAGGCGAAAAGAACCCCGGCGAGGGGAGUGAAAAAGAACCUGAAACCGUGUACGUACAAGCAGUAGGAGCCUCUUUAUGGGGUGACUGCGUACCUUUUGUAUAAUGGGUCAGCGACUUAUAUUCUGUAGCAAGGUUAACCGUAUAGGGGAGCCGCAGGGAAACCGAGUCUUAACUGGGCGUUAAGUUGCAGGGUAUAGACCCGAAACCCGGUGAUCUAGCCAUGGGCAGGUUGAAGGUUGGGUAACACUAACUGGAGGACCGAACCGACUAAUGUUGAAAAAUUAGCGGAUGACUUGUGGCUGGGGGUGAAAGGCCAAUCAAACCGGGAGAUAGCUGGUUCUCCCCGAAAGCUAUUUAGGUAGCGCCUCGUGAACUCAUCUUCGGGGGUAGAGCACUGUUUCGGCUAGGGGGUCAUCCCGACUUACCAACCCGAUGCAAACUACGAAUACCGAAGAAUGUUAUCACGGGAGACACACGGCGGGUGCUAACGUCCGUCGUGAAGAGGGAAACAACCCAGACCGCCAGCUAAGGUCCCAAAGUCAUGGUUAAGUGGGAAACGAUGUGGGAAGGCCCAGACAGCCAGGAUGUUGGCUUAGAAGCAGCCAUCAUUUAAAGAAAGCGUAAUAGCUCACUGGUCGAGUCGGCCUGCGCGGAAGAUGUAACGGGGCUAAACCAUGCACCGAAGCUGCGGCAGCGACACUAUGUGUUGUUGGGUAGGGGAGCGUUCUGUAAGCCGUUGAAGGUGGCCUGUGAGGGUUGCUGGAGGUAUCAGAAGUGCGAAUGCUGACAUAAGUAACGAUAAUGCGGGUGAAAAACCCGCACGCCGGAAGACCAAGGGUUCCUGUCCAACGUUAAUCGGGGCAGGGUGAGUCGACCCCUAAGGCGAGGCCGAAAGGCGUAGUCGAUGGGAAACAGGUUAAUAUUCCUGUACUCGGUGUUACUGCGAAGGGGGGACGGAGAAGGCUAUGUUGGCCGGGCGACGGUUGUCCCGGUUUAAGCAUGUAGGCGGAUGUUCCAGGUAAAUCCGGAACGUUAUCAACGCUGAGGUGUGAUGACGAGGCACUACGGUGCUGAAGUGACAAAUGCCCUGCUUCCAGGAAAAGCCUCUAAGCAUCAGGUAACAUCAAAUCGUACCCCAAACCGACACAGGUGGUCAGGUAGAGAAUACCAAGGCGCUUGAGAGAACUCGGGUGAAGGAACUAGGCAAAAUGGUGCCGUAACUUCGGGAGAAGGCACGCUGAUGGUAAGUGAAGUGACUUGCUCAUGGAGCUGAAAUCAGUCGAAGAUACCAGCUGGCUGCAACUGUUUAUUAAAAACACAGCACUGUGCAAACACGAAAGUGGACGUAUACGGUGUGACGCCUGCCCGGUGCCGGAAGGUUAAUUGAUGGGGUUAUCCGUAAGGAGAAGCUCUUGAUCGAAGCCCCGGUAAACGGCGGCCGUAACUAUAACGGUCCUAAGGUAGCGAAAUUCCUUGUCGGGUAAGUUCCGACCUGCACGAAUGGCGUAAUGAUGGCCAGGCUGUCUCCACCCGAGACUCAGUGAAAUUGAACUCGCUGUGAAGAUGCAGUGUACCCGCGGCAAGACGGAAAGACCCCGUGAACCUUUACUAUAGCUUGACACUGAACACUGGUCCUUGAUGUGUAGGAUAGGUGGGAGGCUUUGAAGUGUGGACGCCAGUCUGCAUGGAGCCAUCCUUGAAAUACCACCCUUUAAUGGCUGGUGUUCUAACGUGGGCCCGUUAUCCGGGUUGCGGACAGUGUCUGGUGGGUAGUUUGACUGGGGCGGUCUCCUCCUAAAGAGUAACGGAGGAGCACGAAGGUCAGCUAAUCCUGGUCGGACAUCAGGAGGUUAGUGCAAUGGCAUAAGCUGGCUUGACUGCGAGCGUGACGGCGCGAGCAGGUGCGAAAGCAGGUCAUAGUGAUCCGGUGGUUCUGAAUGGAAGGGCCAUCGCUCAACGGAUAAAAGGUACUCCGGGGAUAACAGGCUGAUACCGCCCAAGAGUUCAUAUCGACGGCGGUGUUUGGCACCUCGAUGUCGGCUCAUCACAUCCUGGGGCUGAAGUAGGUCCCAAGGGUAUGGCUGUUCGCCAUUUAAAGUGGUACGCGAGCUGGGUUUAGAACGUCGUGAGACAGUUCGGUCCCUAUCUGCCGUGGGCGCUGGAGAAUUGAGGGGGGCUGCUCCUAGUACGAGAGGACCGGAGUGGACGCAUCACUGGUGUUCGGGUUGUCAUGCCAAUGGCAUUGCCCGGUAGCUAAAUGCGGAAGAGAUAAGUGCUGAAAGCAUCUAAGCACGAAACUUGCCCCGAGAUGAGUUCUCCCUGACCCUUUAAGGGUCCUGAAGGAACGUUGAAGACGACGACGUUGAUAGGCCGGGUGUGUAAGCGCAGCGAUGCGUUGAGCUAACCGGUACUAAUGAACCGUGAGGCUUAACCUUACAACGCCGAAG